GACGAACGCUGGCGACAUGCCUAAUACAUGCAAGUCGAGCGAACAGAUGAAGUGCUUGCACUUCUGACGUUAGCGGCGAACGGGGGAGUAACACGUAAGGAAUCUACAUAUAAGUGGGGGAUAACAUUCGGAAAGGGGUGCUAAUACUGCAUAAUAUCUUCUUCCGCAUGGAAGAAGAUUGAAAGACGAAUCUGCUGUAACUUAUAGAUCAGCUUGCGGUGCAUUAGUUAGUUGGUGGGGUAAUGGCCUACCAAGACGAUGAUGAAUAGCCAACCUGAGAGGAUGAUAGGCCACAUUGGGACUGAGACACGGCCCAAACUCCUACGGGAGGCAGCAGUAGGGAAUCUUCCGCAAUGGGCGAAAGCCUGACGGAGCAAUGCCGCGUGAGUGAAGAAGGCCUUCGGGUCGUAAAACUCUGUUAUAAGAGAAGAACAAAUUGUAGAGUAACUGCUACAGUCUUGGCGGUAUCUUAUCAGAAAGCCACGGCUAACUACGUGCCAGCAGCCGCAGUAA
rnacentral:rRNA from 1 species